rnacentral:rRNA from 1 species
GACGAACGCUGGCGGCGUGCUUAACACAUGCAAGUCGAACGGAAAGGCCCUGCUUUUGUGGGGUGCUCGAGUGGCGAACGGGUGAGUAACACGUGAGUAACCUGCCCUUGAUUUUGGGAUAACUUCAGGAAACUGGGGCUAAUACCGGAUAGGAGCUCCUGCUGCAUGGUGUGGGUUGGAAAGUUUCGGCGGUUGGGGAUGGACUCGCGGCUUAUCAGCUUGUUGGUGGGGUAGUGGCUUACCAAGGCUUUGACGGGUAGCCGGCCUGAGAGGGUGACCGGCCACAUGGGGACUGGGAUACGGCCCAGACUCCUACGGGAGGCAGGAGUGGGGAAUAUUGCACAAUGGGCGGAAGCCGGAUGCAGCAACGCCGCGUGCGGGAUGACGGCCUUCGGGUGGUAAACCGCUUUCGCCUGUGACGAAGCGUGAGUGACGGUAAUGGGUAAAGAAGCACCGGCUAACUACGU